AAUGAACGUUGGCGGCGUGGAUUAGGCAUGCAAGUCGUACGGGCCGCAAGGCCAGUGGCGCAAGGGUGAGUAAGGCGACGGCAACCAACCCCAUGGCCGGGUAUAGCCGCGGGAAACCGCGGGUAAUCCCCGGCGACGCAACCGGCCGGCAUCGGCCGGUUGCCAAAGCUCCGGCGCCGGGGGACGGGCCGUCGUGGUAUUAGGUCGUUGGCGGGGUAACGGCCCACCAAGCCUGCGAUGCCUACCGGGCGUGCGAGCGUGGCCCGGCACACUGGGACUGAGACACUGCCCAGACUCCUACGGGAGGCUGCAGUCGAGAAUCUUCGGCAAUGGGCGCAAGCCUGACCGAGCGACGCCGCGUGGAGGACGAAGGCCCUCGGGUUGUAAACUCCUGUCGAGGGGGAAGAAGGCCGCGCAAGCGGCUUGACUGAUCCCUGGAGGAAGCACGGGCUAAGUUCGUGCCAGCCGCCGCCGUAACAC
rnacentral:rRNA from 1 species